rnacentral:rRNA from 1 species
AUUGAACGCUGGCGGAAUGCUUUACACAUGCAAGUCGAACGGCAGCACGGACUUCGGUCUGGUGGCGAGUGGCGAACGGGUGAGUAAUGUAUCGGAACGUGCCCAGUCGUGGGGGAUAACGUAGUGAAAAUUACGCUAAUACCGCAUACGAUCUAUGGAUGAAAGCGGGGGAUCGCAAGACCUCGCGCGAUUGGAGCGGCCGAUAUCAGAUUAGGUAGUUGGUGGGGUAAAGGCCCACCAAGCCAACGAACUGUAGCUGGUCUGAGAGGACGACCAGCCACGCUGGAACGGAGACACGGUACAGACUCCUACGGGAGGCAGCAGUGGGGAGUUUUGGACAAUGGGCGAAAGCCUGAUUCAGCCAUUCCGCGUGCAGGAUGAAGGCCCUCGGGUUGUAAACUGCUUUUGUACAGAACGAAAAGGUUUCUACUAAUACUAGGAGCUCAUGACGGUACUGUAAGAAUAAGCACCGGCUAACUACGUGCCAGCAGCCGCGGUAA